GACGAACGCUGGCGGCGUGCUUAACACAUGCAAGUCGAGCGGUAAGGCCCUUUCGGGGGUACACGAGCGGCGAACGGGUGAGUAACACGUGGGUGACCUGCCCUCAGCUCUGGGAUAAGCCUGGGAAACCGGGUCUAAUACCGGAUAUGACUCCAUGACACAUGUUGUGGGGUGGAAAGCCUUGUGCGGCUGAGGAUGGGCCCGCGGCCUAUCAGCUUGUUGGUGGGGUNAUGGCCUACCAAGGCGACGACGGGUAGCCGGCCUGAGAGGGCGACCGGCCACACUGGGACUGAGACACGGCCCAGACUCCUACGGGAGGCAGCAGUGGGGAAUCUUGCGCAAUGGGCGAAAGCCUGACGCAGCGACGCCGCGUGAGGGAUGACGGCCUGUGU
rnacentral:rRNA from 1 species